GAGUCGGAUGACUCUGUCUGCCAGUCGACCAUGCAAAAGAGGUUUUAAGACGUCAUAAAAAAUUGAGCUCACUUGAGACCACCAAGCAUAAACAAGGCUGCACAGAACCUGGAUGCCAUUUGCAAGAAUCAGUGACUCACAAAUCCUACUGUGAUACAAAUGGGUUGGACAGGGAGAGAAAAGAUGGUAGUGUGCGCUGUCCUGGCCGUUGUCGCUGCCCAUUACGCCCUCCCUACAACAGCCUGGCCUACUCGGUACAACCGGAAGCCGCCAGAUACUGGACCAACUUGGCCGCCCCCUAUACCAAAUACGCUGCUGCCCUCUAUAACGGUUUCUCUGCCAGCGCCCCGGCCAGCGCCCGCCUCCAGGACAACGGCAUCAGUACCAAGUUCGACGGCAAAAUCCCCGUCUUUCCUUCGUCGGCUCCUUUAGUUACGUGGACCUCAAUGGUGUGAAACAAACGGUCGACUACAUUGUGGACGAGUCCCGCUACCGUGUGUCUGGCACCAACCUGCCGGCGGCUGCCGUCACCGACGUGAAGACGCCCGCCGACGCUGCUGCUACCAGGAGUGGCUACCACAAGAAACGCAUUGCUCUGCCGAUCGGCGUUACCCCUGAGGU